rnacentral:rRNA from 1 species
AGUGAACGCUGGCGGUAGGCCUAACACAUGCAAGUCGAACGGCAGCACAGUAAGAGCUUGCUCUUACGGGUGGCGAGUGGCGGACGGGUGAGGAAUACAUCAGAAUCUACUUUUUCGUGGGGGAUAACGUAGGGAAACUUACGCUAAUACCGCAUACGACCUACGGGUGAAAGCAGGGGAUCUUCGGACCUUGCGCGAUUGAAUGAGCCGAUGUCGGAUUAGCUAGUUGGCGGGGUAAAGGCCCACCAAGGCGACGAUACGUAGCUGGUCUGAGAGGAUGAUCAGGCACACUGGAACUGAGACACGGUCCAGACUCCUACGGGAGGGCGCAGUGGGGAAUAUUGGAGAAUGGGCGGAAAGCUGAUCCAGCCAUACCGCGGGGGUGGAGGAGGCCCUCGGGUUGUAAAGCCCUUUUGUUGGGAAAAAAAAGCAGCAGGAUAAUACCCCGCUGGUCUGACGGUAACCAAAGAAUAAGCACCGGCUAACUUCGUG